GGGGCUGAUUUUGGAUUCGACGUAAUUUAUAAAAAAUUUUGAAGCAUGCCGGGGAAAGGUUGGCCUCGUUAAAAAACCUAAUAAAUAAUUGCAGAAAAAAAAAUAAAUUAUUCUUUAGCAGCGUAAAUAAAUAAAUAAAUAUAAGUUAAAUAACUGUAAAAUAAUAAAUAUUAAAUAUUAAAUAUUAAUAAAUCAAUAAUUAUUUUAAUCUUGUUUAAUUAUAAUAAAAUUAAACUAAGCAUGUAGUAUCAAAAAUAUAAAAAAAUUACGGACGCGGGUUCAAAUCCCGCCAGCUCCAA
rnacentral:tmRNA from 5 species